UCAAGUAUGUUUAGUACAUCCACUAAGACUUUAAGUUAGCUUCACGAGACCUAUUAAGAAUAGAAUUUCUUGUAGGCUUUGUGACCAGGGGGAUUAGCGCUGCUUUCCCAAGACAGGUUUUUAUGUGUAUGAUCUUCAGGCUUUGCCUAUCCAGGUUGGCUGGCCGGUGCUGACGGGACUGAGCUGAGGCUAGAGAUAAAUUUCUAUGUUAGACUUCCGCUGUAGCAAUUACUCAUAUCAGUCUUUUGUUUUCCCAACUUAAGAUCUUCAUGUUAAAUUUUAAAUGAUAUACCUGACCGAGCUUAGACUCUUCACUACUAAA